ACAGCCAUAUCACGUUCAAUAAUCGGUUCCCGUACGAUCACCAAAGUUAAGCAACGUUGAGCCUGGUCAGUACCUAGAUGGGUAACUGCUUGGGAAUAUUAGGUGCUGUAGG